rnacentral:rRNA from 2 species
AAUGGUGAGUAAGCACAGGUGUUCACCUCUUCCCAUUCCGAACAGAGAAGUUAAGCCCUUGUCGCGCCGAUGGUACUGCCUUCACCGGUGGGAGAGUAGGUUCUCGCCAACC